rnacentral:rRNA from 1 species
UAAGGAUUUAAAAGUCGAACAGACUUAAAUUUAAAGAGUACUGCCUCUUGAAUUUACCUUAAUUCAACAUCGAGGUCGCAAACUAUAAUAUAAAUAUGAACUUUCCAUUAAAAUUACGCUGUUAUCCCUAAGGUAACUUUUUCUUAAUUCCUAAAAAUAGAUCACUAAUAACAUUUAAAAUGAUUUUUAAUAAUAAAGUUUAAAUUUAUUCGCCACCCCAGCCAAACAUAUUUACAAACAAUAAAAUAUUUACAUAAAAAAUUAUUACAAAUAAAUAAUGUAAAGUUCUAUAGGGUCUUAUCGUCCCAAAAAUUUAGUUAAGCAUUUUCACUUAAAAUUUAAAUUUUAAUAUUAUAAUAAAAUAAAAUAUAUAUCUCAAUUUUCCAUUCAUACCAGCCUUCAAUUAAAAAGCUAAUUAUUAUGCUACCUUUGCACAGUCAAAGUACUGCAGCCAUUUAGUAAAAUACCAUAGGGCAGAAAGUACUUUUAAAAAACCCU